AUUCUUUUAGUUUCUGGCGAUUCCCUUUUCUUUCUUUCUCUUCCUUCAAUUCCUCUCUCCUCUGUUUUCCCCUUUGCCUCACCUUCUCCGCCUGUUUCUCCUUCUUCGCCUUGCUCCCUUUGAUCCAUCUCUCUGCUUCUUGUGCGGCGGUGGUAUUCUCUCUCUUUCUCUUCUUCCCUAUGUUCUUCUCCCUCUUCCAUUUUUCUCUUGAUUCUCCUUCGUUGAUCGGAUUUCUUGUUGCCCUCCUUGCGUGAUCGGUUUUCGUUGAUCGGAUUUCUUCCCUGCCAUCCUUGCGCGAUAAAUCGAUCAUGACGGCGAUGGUUGUAUCAUAAAUUAAAGUCGAAUUGGUUGGCUAGGGUUUGAUUGGAUCUCACUUUUCAAUUUUUCUUUCGGUUUCUAAGAUCUGAUUUUUUGUGAUGGUUUAACCUCUUUAUGGGAAUAUAUUCAGUUCUUUACUACAUCUUCUAGGCACUUGUUGAAUGUGGCUUAAGUUCACUUUUGCUGACACACAUUUACUGGGACAACAAUGCAUGUAACUCUGUUAUCAUUGUCGUCCUUUGAAGUCGUCCUCUGAAGAGGCUAGACGCGUCAAAAUUCUCCACGUGCCUAACAAGAGCUGCUGCAUGAGGCUAUUUGCUUUGCAGCUGGAAGGAUUGUUGCAGGUCAGUCGAAGGUGGUAUGCUGCCAGUUAUUGACUAUUGCGCAACUGUUCUGCUUUGUUUGGCUGUCGUUGGCAGUGUUUUGGGCGUGGUGUUGCUGCAUGGGGGUAGUGGUUGUCGCUGCUUGUUUGUUGUCAACCAUAAAGUAUAUAGUGAAUUGUACAUCAGUGGUUUUGGAAUGUACAUGAUCUCAGGGAAGGAGUCAACUUACCAACAACUUUGCAGUGAGAUCACAGAGGAGUUCAGUGAUUGCUCUAAACAAGUUCGGGAGAUGGAGUCUCAAUUUCUGAAGCCUGACUGCUUUAGAGAUGAUCCUAAAACUUCAUCUGGACAACUUUGUUCGGUGGAUUCUCGUGCAGCCGAAAGGGAGCAAACACAACAGGGCGAGUGGCAUGAGCAAAUUCCUUUGCGAUUCAGGACGCUAGGCUAUUUCUCGAUACGGAGUUCAUUGAUGGGAAUGAAUGGUUGAGAUUAUAGCUUACAGAAACAACUGAACAUUAUACCUGAGACUUAUAUAUUGUAAAGCAUGUAUGUCCUGAAAUGCACGACAUCACUAUCUCGGGAAUCAAAUAGCUUCAUAAGCUCUUCGGGCCGGGUAUGCAUUAGAGGCGAGAUUAACUUCUCCAUUGCCGCAACAGGAGUGUAAUGUCUCAAAUUUAAACUUUUUAGCAUUACAAUUUGGGCAACAUUUAGGCGGAGAAAGGGUGGGCUACUCAACUGGCAAUGGUUGUUCAACAACUGCAGAAGGUACCUCUAUUUACAUGUACGAGGAAACUGGUUCGACAUGUUCAACUUAUCAUAUUCACAGGUUAGGAGGUUUGAUUUGGGUCGAUUAAUAAAUAUCAAUUUCCAAGGUUGAAGUGUUAAAUAACUUAUGGGCUUUCAAGAAUGUAAACAGUUUUGGCAGGUGAUGUUGUGGCUAUGUAAGGAGACGCUAGCCAUGACAACUCGAGUUGCAUGGAGCACGCCAAACCAACUCUUGUGGGGAGCUUUUCUUUGAUGAAGAGGGUAGCAAUGAAUAUGGAGGGCCUGAGUGAAAAAUGGAGCCAAGGGAGAAUUUUAGCAGAUUUAGGGCCAAACAAUGUGACAAACUCAUUCAAUGUUUGUGUGCACAAAGGAUAGUGCAAUGAGCCAGAGUUUGAUCAGAAAUAAGAAACACCAUUGAUGGGUGCUGGAGCAACGAUCAAAGGUUGAGGAUUAAGAUCAAGUUCUGUAAACCAAGGGGAUAUUGUUAGAUUAGAGGCUUUAAUUUCCAAUUUGUAUCAAUAUCAAUUUGUAUCAUCUAUUUACAAUUUUUUUCAUCAACUAAUUCAUCCCAAUGAUUAGAAUAUAAACAUAUUUGUGUGUUUUUUCCUAAA